rfam:Medicago truncatula strain A17 chromosome 4, whole genome shotgun sequence.
AUACCUUUCUCGGCCUUUUGGCUAAGAUCAAGUGUAGUAUCUGUUCUUAUCAGUUUAAUAUCUGAUAUGUGGCCCAAUGGGUCACACGAUAUUAAAUUAUUUUUUUGAGGGGGAGAAGCCACUCCAAUAGCUUGCUAUUGGGCUUCUUGAGUGUCGCCUAUGUGUUGCACUAUUGCAUGGGCUGGCGCACCCCAC